GCUCAUUGCUGAGUCUGAGUUUCUGUGAAAAUGUUUUUUUUUUCGUAAAAAAUUCAUGAAUAUUUGCCUCUUCGGCGUGAUUUCUGUUGCGAUUUAUUGUUUGAGUAUUAAUUAGUUCAGUUUAGUGUCACUUCUUAUAUUUCAUGAUUCAUUGAUAACGCCUGUAUCCGUUGAAGUAUAAUUUCAUCUGGGUUUGAAUUCUCACACUUAGCAUCAACCGAAAUUCUUGAAUCACAAGAUGUCAUCACGUCAUAGAGAAUGGGAUCCGGCCUGCAAAGUGUACAUCGGUAAUUUGAAAACUAACGCUAGUAAAAAUGAAUUGGAAGACACAUUUUCGAAGUACGGACCUCUCAGAAACAUAUGGGUGGCUCGAAAUCCUCCAGGAUUCGCUUUUGUCGAAUUCGAAGACUCACGAGAUGCUGAAGAUGCAGUCAGGGGACUAGAUGGAACUCGCUGUUGCGGAUCUCGUAUGAUCGUUGAAAUGUCAAAUGGAAAAACUCGUACUCGCGAAAAAUAUGGUCGUGAAGAAUUCCGCCGACGUUCGCCAUCGUAUAGGUUUAUUCCUACAUUUUUACGAUUAACACCACCUCGAUCACCACCAAAUCACCAUCCCAACAGUCACCAUUAUUAUCUCCAUCAGGGCGGAUGCCGCCACUUCGCGCGCAUCUUUCUACAUCAUAACCCGCAUCAAUCUCCAAAUUUUAUUACAACUUAAGCGCGUACAUCGACAUCUCUGCUCUAUUGCUGUCAACAUGAGGAACAAUUUAUCUAUUUGUAGCAUCUCUGCCAGCAACGUUAAGCGAAUGUUUGAUUUUCACGACACGAACUGCGUCAUUAAUCCAGUCGUGUUUUUAUUUAUUAUUGUUUUCGUAUGGUUUGGAGAUGCUCUAAAUUAACUCGGUUGUUGUGCUUCUUGUUCGAAUAUCAGUUUUUCAUAUCGAUGUAAUACUAUUGAUGAAUGUUAUAUUUACAGAGACAGACAAAGGUCACCGCCGCCGAAAAGAUAUCGUUCGUAUUCACGUUCUAGAUCGAGAAGCCCGGUUUAUAGAAGAUCGCGUUCGACGUCGAGGGAACGUAGAUAAAGUACUCGCUUCGUAUUGUAGAAGCGCGAUGUGUGGUUUGUGAAAGAUGACGAUUUGAAAACGUAGCAGCCAAUUGCGAUCAUUUUUUUUACUGGCUAUCAAGUUAUUCAUCAACAUGAUCAUGAGGAAUGUAUCGUCAACAUUUUAAUUCUUAAGUGUAUCUUUGUUUUUUUUUCUUUUUAAAUAAGGAUUGUCUUAAUUUUAUGCUUGUUAUUUUGAUGUAAAUUUUACGUACCAAACUGCUUCGGUAAUUGCAUUUUUGUACUUAUUAUUGUAGAAUUAUGGGUAGAUACUCGUAUUUAGAAAACCAGAGUUGCAGAAGUAAUUAUUGAGAUAUCUAAUGACAUUUUUGUAAUACCUAAUUUUAUUCAUGCUGCGCGUUUGAUCUUAUUAUUGAAAAUAUGUGCCCAAGUUUCUAAACCAAACGUACUUAUUUUUUCCUUGAUCAACCUCAAAGUAUAAAUAAUAGUAUUUUUUCAGUA